AACGAACGUUGGCGGCGUGCCUAACACAUGCAAGUCGAGCGCGGGCAGGACUUCGGUCCUGUUCCGAGCGGCGCACGGGUGAGUAACACGUGAGUAACCUGCCUCGAAGUUUGGGAUAACCGCCCGAAAGGGUGGCUAAUACCGGAUAAGCCCCCACUGGCACAGGCCAGAGAGGGAAAAGGACCUUGGCGCUUCGAGAUGGGCUCGCGUCCCAUUAGCUAGUUGGUGAGGUAACGGCUCACCAAGGCGAAGAUGGGUAGCUGGUCUGAGAGGAUGAUCAGCCACACUGGAACUGAGACACGGUCCAGACUCCUACGGGAGGCAGCAGUGGGGAAUAUUGCGCAAUGGGCGAAAGCCUGACGCAGCAACGCCGCGUGGGUGAAGAAGGUCUUCGGAUCGUAAAGCCCUGUCAGGAGGGACGAAACAAAUGACGGUACCUCCAAAGGAAGCACUGGCUAACUCCGUGCCAGCAGCCGCGGUAAAGUCAC
rnacentral:rRNA from 1 species